GAUGAAGAACGCAGCGAAAUGCGAUAAGUAAUGUGAAUUACAGAAUUCAGUGAAUCAUCGAAUCUUUGAACGCACAUUGCGCCCGCCAGUAUUCUGGCGGGCAUGCCUGUUCGAGCGUCAUUACAACCCUCAGGCCCCCGGGCCUGGCGUUGGGGAUCGGCGGAGCCCCCCGUGGGCACACGCCGUCCCCCAAAUACAGUGGCGGUCCCGCCGCAGCUUCCAUCGCGUAGUAGCUAACACCUCGCGACUGGAGAGCGGCGCGGCCACGCCGUAAAACACCCAACUCUUCUGAAGUUGACCUCGAAUCAGGUAGGAAUACCCGCUGAACUUAAGCAUAUCAAUAAGCGGGGA
rnacentral:misc_RNA from 1 species